ACAAGGAUAUAUUGUACUUUUCAUAAUAAAACAUACUUGAAACAAGAAAAAGCCUGUUAAUUGUGAAAACAAUUUUGUUAAUUGUAAAGGCUUCUGGGUGGAGGAGUCAGGCAGAGAGCAGGGUUCAAAAUGUGUAUCUUCUGGGUGGAGGAGUCAGAGGCAGAGAGCAGGGUUCAACACGUGGAUCUUCUGGGUGGAGGAGUCAGGCAGAGAGCAGGGUUCAACACGUGGAUCUUCUGGGUGGAGGAGUCAGGCAGAGAGCAGGGUUCAACACGUGGAUCUUCUGGGUGGAGGAGAGUCAGGCAGAGAGCAGGGUUCAACACGUGGAUCUUCUGGGUGGAGGAGUCAGGCAGAGAACAGGGUUCAACACGUGGAUCUUCUGGGUGGAGGAGUCAGGCAGAGAGCAGGGUUCAACACGUGGAUCUUCUGGGUGGAGGAGUCAGGAUCUUUAUUCCAAGAACAGAGUAACGGCCAAACACAAGGGCGUAACCCAACAAACAGGACGGAACUGUCCAGAAAAACGGAAUCCACAAUAAUCCACAUGAACAGAAAAGCCAGCGGGCCUCCGGGGGUUAAACAGCCCAAAACCCAAACAACAAACAGGUGCAACUAAACUAAAUGAAACAGAAAAGGGGAUCAGCUAGUAGACGACCGUCGAGCGCCGCCCGAACAGGAAGAGGCACCAUCUUCGGCGGGAUUCGUGACAUUAAUUGUGAAAAGAGUUUGUUUAUUGAUUUUACGUUGCCUCUGUCAGGUUGAUGUUAACCUGCGACUGGUUGAAACAUGAAACAAAUAUGAAAUGAGAUACAAAACAAUUAAAUAUGUGGAAUAAAAUUAAACCAAUUGUACAAUUUGUACAACAGAGUGUUGUGAUGCAGGGUUACUAUAGCAACAGAGUUGUAAUGCAGGGUCACUAUAGCAACAGAGUUCUCUCUGCUCUCUCUCUUCUCUGCUCUCUUUCUGUUCUCUGCUCUCUGUUCUCAUCCAUCAGAUGUCUGUGAUCUCACACUGGACCUAAACACAGUAAACAGACUCCUCUCUCUGUCUGAGGAGAACAGAAAGGUGACAUGGAGGAGAGAAGAGCAGCCGUAUCCUGAUCACCCAGAGAGAUUUGAGGUCUGUUCUGCUCUGACAACAGUUACUCUGCCUGUCACAAUAAUAAACCCACUACCAUAGACGUCCCCUCCUCCAGCUCCCACAGAGUAGGAGUGUAUCUGGACUGGCCAGUUGGAACUCUGUCCUUCUAUAGAGCCUCCUCUGUCACACUGACCCACCUGAUCACAUUCACCUCCACAUUCACUGAGCGCCUCUAUCCAGGGUUUUGGGUUUGGGAUGAUGGUUCCUCUGUCAGUGACUCUCUGGACACAACAACUAAAGCUCUAAAGUAACUUUUUAUUGACAGAUGCCUCAUUUAAAUGUUCUGGAUUUUGAUGAAAGGAAAUCCCAUAAAGCCUACUGGCCAAGACUUUGUUAUGGCAUCUUCUGAUUGGGUGUCUCAGGUCAGGACUUUGUUAUGACAUCUUCUGAUUGGGUGUCUCAGGUCAGGACUUUGUUAUGGCAUCUUCUGAUUGGGUGUCUCAGGUCAGGAC
ensembl:lncRNA